rnacentral:rRNA from 1 species
GACGAACGCUGGCGGCGUGCUUAACACAUGCAAGUCGAACGGAAAGGCCCUGCUUUUGUGGGGUGCUCGAGUGGCGAACGGGUGAGUAACACGUGAGUAACCUGCCCUUGACUUUGGGAUAACUUCAGGAAACUGGGGCUAAUACCGGAUAGGAGCUCCUGCUGCAUGGUGGGGGUUGGAAAGUUUCGGCGGUUGGGGAUGGACUCGCGGCUUAUCAGCUUGUUGGUGGGGUAGUGGCUUACCAAGGCUUUGACGGGUAGCCGGCCUGCGAGGGUGACCGGCCACCUUGGUACUGCGAUACGGCCCAGACUCCUACGGGAGGCAGCAGUGGGGAAUAUUGCACAAUGGGCGGAAGCCUGAUGCAGCAGCGCCGCGUGCGGGAUGACGGCCUUCGGGUUGUAAACCGCUUUCGCCUGUGACGAAGCGUGAGUGACGGUAAUGGGUAAAGAAGCACCGGCUAACUACGUG